rnacentral:rRNA from 1 species
UUGCGGCGUGCUUAACACAUGCAAGUCGAACGGAAAGGCCCUGCUUUUGUGGGGUGCUCGAGUGGCGAACGGGUGAGUAACACGUGAGUAACCUGCCCUUGACUUUGGGAUAACUUCAGGAAACUGGGGCUAAUACCGGAUAGGAGCUCCUGCUGCAUGGUGGGGGUUGGAAAGUUUCGGCGGUUGGGGAUGGACUCGCGGCUUAUCAGCUUGUUGGUGGGGUAGUGGCUUACCAAGGCUUUGACGGGUAGCCGGCCUGAGAGGGUGACCGGCCACAUUGGGACUGAGAUACGGCCCAGACUCCUACGGGAGGCAGCAGUGGGGAAUAUUGCACAAUGGGCGGAAGCCUGAUGCAGCAACGCCGCGUGCGGGAUGACGGCCUUCGGGUUGUAAACCGCUUUCGCCUGUGACGAAGCGUGAGUGACGGUAAUGGGUAAAGAAGCACCGGCUAACUACGUGCCAGCAGCCGCGGUGAUACGUAGGGUGCGAGCGUUGUCCGGAUUUAUUGGGCGUAAAGGGCUCGUAGGUGGUUGAUCGCGUCGGAAGUGUAAUCUUGGGGCUUAACCCUGAGCGUGCUUUCGAUACGGGUUGACUUGAGGAAGGUAGGGGAGAAUGGAAUUCCUGGUGGAGCGGUGGAAUGCGCAGAUAUCAGGAGGAACACCAGUGGCGAAGGCGGUUCUCUGGGCCUUUCCUGACGCUGAGGAGCGAAAGCGUGGGGAGCGAACAGGCUUAGAUACCCUGGUAGUCCACGCUGUAAACGGUGGGUACUAGGUGUGGGGUCCAUUCCACGGGUUCCGUGCCGUAGCUAACGCUUUAAGUACCCCGCCUGGGGAGUACGGCCGCAAGGCUAAAACUCAAAGGAAUUGACGGGGCCCCGCACAAGCGGCGGAGCAUGCGGAUUAAUUCGAUGCAACGCGUAGAACCUUACCUGGGUUUGACAUGGAUCGGGAGUGCUCAGAGAUGGGUGUGCCUCUUUUGGGGUCGGUUCACAGGUGGUGCAUGGCUGUCGUCAGCUCGUGUCGUGAGAUGUUGGGUUAAGUCCCGCAACGAGCGCAACCCUUGUUCACUGUUGCCAGCACGUUAUGGUGGGGACUCAGUGGAGACCGCCGGGGUCAACUCGGAGGAAGGUGGGGAUGACGUCAAGUCAUCAUGCCCCUUAUGUCCAGGACUUCACGCAUGCUACAAUGGCUGGUACAGAGAGUGGCGAGCCUGUGAGGGUGAGCGAAUCUCGGAAAGCCGGUCUCAGUUCGGAUUGGGGUCUGCAACUCGACCUCAUGAAGUCGGAGUCGCUAGUAAUCGCAGAUCAGUAACGCUGCGGUGAAUACGUUCCCGGGGCUUGUACACACCGCCCGUCAAGUCAUGAAAGUUGGUAACACCCGAAGCCGGUGGCCUAACCGUUGUGGGGGAGCCGUCGAAGGUGGGACUGGUGAUUAG